rnacentral:rRNA from 1 species
GACGAACGCUGGCGGCGUGCUUAACACAUGCAAGUUGAACGGAAAGGCCCUGUUCAUGUGGGGUGCUCGAGUGGCGAACGGGUGAGCAACACGUGAGUAACCUUCCCUUGACUUUGUGAUAAAUUCAGGAAACUGGGGUUACUAUCUUAUAGGAGCUCCUGCUGCAGGGUGGGGGUUGGAUAGUUUCGGCGGUUGGGGAUGGACUCGCGGCUUAUCAGCUGGUUGGUGGGGUAGUGGCUUACCAAGGCUUUGACGGGUAGCCGGCCUGAGAGGGUGACCGGCCGCAUUGGGACUGAGGUACGGCCCAGACUCCUACGGGAGGCAGCAGUGGGGAUGGUUGCACAAUGGGCGGAAGCCUGAUGCAGCAACGCCGCGUGCGUGAUGACGGCCUUCGGGUUGUAAACCGCUUUCGCCUGUGACUAAGCGUGAGUGACGGUAAUGGGUAAAGAAGCACCGGCUAACUACGUG